rnacentral:rRNA from 1 species
GGCCCGCACAAGCGGUGGAGCAUGUGGUUUAAUUCGAUGCAACGCGAAGAACCUUACCUACUCUUGACAUCCACGGAAUUUAGCAGAGAUGCUUUAGUGCCUUCGGGAACCGUGAGACAGGUGCUGCAUGGCUGUCGUCAGCUCGUGUUGUGAAAUGUUGGGUUAAGUCCCGCAACGAGCGCAACCCUUAUCCUUUGUUGCCAGCACGUGAUGGUGGGAACUCAAAGGAGACUGCCGGUGAUAAACCGGAGGAAGGUGGGGAUGACGUCAAGUCAUCAUGGCCCUUACGAGUAGGGCUACACACGUGCUACAAUGGCAGAUACAAAGUGAAGCGAACUCGCGAGAGCAAGCGGACCACAUAAAGUCUGUCGUAGUCCGGAUUGGAGUCUGCAACUCGACUCCAUGAAGUCGGAAUCGCUAGUAAUCGUAGAUCAGAAUGCUACGGUGAAUACGUUCCCGGGCCUUGUACACACCGCCCGUCACACCAUGGGAGUGGGUUGCAAAAGAAGUAGGUAGCUUAACCUUCGGGAGGGCGCUUACCACUUUGUGAUUCAUGACUGGGGUGAAGUCGUAACAAGGUAACCGUAGGGGAACCUGCGGUUGGAUCACCUCCUUACCU